UGGGGAAUAUUGCACAAUGGGCGCAAGCCUGAUGCAGCCAUGCCGCGUGUAUGAAGAAGGCCUUCGGGUUGUAAAGUACUUUCAGCGAGGAGGAAGGCGGUAAGGUUAAUAACCUUAUCGAUUGACGUUACUCGCAGAAGAAGCACCGGCUAACUCCGUGCCAGCAGCCGCGGUAAUACGGAGGGUGCAAGCGUUAAUCGGAAUUACUGGGCGUAAAGCGCACGCAGGCGGUCUGUCAAGUCGGAUGUGAAAUCCCCGGGCUCAACCUGGGAACUGCAUUCGAAACUGGCAGGCUAGAGUCUUGUAGAGGGGGGUAGAAUUCCAGGUGUAGCGGUGAAAUGCGUAGAGAUCUGGAGGAAUACCGGUGGCGAAGGCGGCCCCCUGGACAAAGACUGACGCUCAGGUGCGAAGGCGUGGGGAGCAAACA
rnacentral:rRNA from 1 species